rfam:Micromonospora krabiensis strain DSM 45344 genome assembly, chromosome: I
ACGCGCUGGCGGGACUCGGUGUAAUUCCGAACCGGCGGUGAUCCACGGCUGCGGCCGUGGUCAGCCCGCGACCCGGACGGCUCUGCCGCCCGGUGGACCUGGUGAGAACCCAGGGCCGACGGUUGGGGGCGGGCCUUCCCGCGCCCAGACAGUCCGGAUGGGAGACAGCGCGC